rnacentral:rRNA from 1 species
AUACGGAGGGGGUUAGCGUUGUUCGGAAUUACUGGGCGUAAAGCGUACGUAGGCGGAUCGGAAAGUAAGGGGUGAAAUCCCUGGGCUCAACCCUGGAACUGCCUCUUAAACUCCCGGUCUUGAGUUCGAGAGAGGUGAGUGGAAUUCCUAGUGUAGAGGUGAAAUUCGUAGAUAUUAGGAGGAACACCAGUGGCGAAGGCGGCUCACUGGCUCGAUACUGACGCUGAGGUACGAAAGUGUGGGGAGCAAACAGGAUUAGAAACCCUAGUAGUCC